UGGGGAAUAUUGGACAAUGGGCGCAAGCCUGAUCCAGCAAUGCCGCGUGAGUGAUGAAGGCCUUAGGGUUGUAAAGCUCUUUUACCCGGGAUGAUAAUGACAGUACCGGGAGAAUAAGCCCCGGCUAACUCCGUGCCAGCAGCCGCGGUAAUACGGAGGGGGCUAGCGUUGUUCGGAAUUACUGGGCGUAAAGCGCACGUAGGCGGCUUUGUAAGUUAGAGGUGAAAGCCCGGGGCUCAACUCCGGAAUUGCCUUUAAGACUGCAUCGCUAGAAUUGUGGAGAGGUAAGUGGAAUUCCGAGUGUAGAGGUGAAAUUCGUAGAUAUGGGGAGGAACACCGAUGGCGUAGGCAGAUAACUGGCUCAUUUCUGACACUAAGGCACGAAAGCGUGGGGAGCAAAC
rnacentral:rRNA from 1 species